rnacentral:rRNA from 1 species
CACGGGGGGAGCAAGCGUUGUUCGGAAUCACUGGGCGUAAAGGGCGCGUAGGCGGCCACUGCAAGUCGGUUGUGAAAUCUCCGGGCUUAACCCGGAAAGGUCAAUCGAUACUGCAGGGCUAGAGUGCGGAAGGGGCAACUGGAAUUCUCGGUGUAGCGGUGAAAUGCGUAGAUAUCGAGAGGAACACCUGCGGCGAAGGCGGGUUGCUGGGCCGACACUGACGCUGACAGCGCGAAAGCUAGGGGAGCGAACGGG